GAGAUAUCUCUUUAAACGAGAGAGAUAUCUCUUAAAGUUAGAGAGAUAUCUCUUUAACAAGUUUAAAAGAGAUAUCUCUCUUAAUUAGAGAGAUAUCUCUUUAGAUUUUCAAAAAGAGAUAUCUUUCUAAGCUAAAGAGAUAUCUCUUUUAAUGAAAGAGAUAUCUCUUUUCCAAUCACCCUUAAAAUAAAAUAACUAAUUCUCCCGUUAAAAACGAAAGCGAAACAGGAAGUAAUGUCUGUUAAGUCGUUCGUUUUCUGGUUAUUGAAAAGAAGAGGAUAAAAUGGACCGAUUGAUACAGAGAUCCAGGAGGUACUGAAAAAGGGACAAUGCUUCGACUGAAUGUGUCAUCCAUGUACCAGUAUAGACCUGUUAAAUUGUUAAUGAGGCAUAUCCAAUAAUUCUUAUACUCAUGAAGAGUGCGGCAACUCCCAAGUAGUUAAGGAUGGCACUCAUUUUAAAUCAGAUCCUCACUUCUAGGAUGUUUUCCAUGUUCUUGUGAAAAGUGUUUUACAUGGCACCAUUCAGCUACAAAUACUUUGCCGGUGGAACUGUGACAUCAAUCAACUGCUCAUGCCACUGCUAAUUGGCAGAAUUUCCU